rnacentral:misc_RNA from 1 species
AAUCACCAUUUUUUGUGUUGGGGACUCCUGGCGAACUGGAAAGUAGGUGGCAUGGAGGCCUACUUGGCAGAUCCAAAUCAAGUCGUCAUGCUCGAUGGGGGCCUGGCGACGGAACUGGAGACGCGUGGCUGCGAUCUUCUCGAUCCUCUCUGGUCCGGCAAAGUCCUGCUGGAAUCACCGCAGCGGAUCCGCGACGUGGCGCUGGCAUACCUGCGGGCUGGCGCACGAUGCAUCAUCACAGCCAGCUACCAGAUCACACCACAGAGUCUAAUGGAACACCGCGGACUCACCGAGGAUGCUGCUGUGGCGGCCAUUGAAGAGUCGGUGCGCAUUGCGCAAAGCGUUCGGGAGCGGCACCUGAAGGAGAAGCCACAUGCUGCACCGGUUUUCGUGGCCGGCUCUGUCGGCCCGUAUGGUGCCUACCUCGCCGACGGUUCCGAAUACCGCGGCGACUACGUACGAAGUGCGGAGGAGUUUAAGGAAUUCCAUCGCUUGCGCAUUGCAGCACUACUCCGCGCCGGUGCAGACGUGCUCGCCAUUGAAACCCAGCCCUCUGCCGCGGAGGUGCGCGCGAUUGUGGCGCUGCUACAGGAGGAGCAUCCAAACUGCCGGGCGUGGGUCUCCUUCACGACAUCUCGAAUCUCACCUGUGGAGGCGAUCAGCGACGGCACCAAAUGGGCUGAUAUCAUUUCGUUCCUCGAAAAGGCCCCUCAGGUUGUCGCAGUAGGCGUUAACUGCAUCCCUAUGGCCGAAGCCUCUGCAGUGCUGGCUCAUCUGCACACGCUCACCACAAUGCCGCUCGUCGUGUACACGAAUUCGGGUGAGUCCUACGACACAGUCACUAGAACGUGGCACCCCAUACCCAUGCGCGAUGGCACUACUCUGAGCUUGGCAGCAUUGGCGCGGGAGUGGGCUUCUCAUGGUGCUCGGCUUGUUGGCGGGUGCUGUCGCACCGGGCCAUCGGACAUUGCCGGCGCCGCAGCAGCUCUCGACAGUGCCGGUUUCGUGGUGUAGGGGUUCAUCUCCCGGAAUGGGAGAGGACUGAUCGAAAAGGGAUGUGGGUGGAAAGGAUGCACGGAAAGUCAGCGUGCCCCAUUGCACUGCCAAACGAGGCGAGAACUGCCCACAAGCCCGCAGAAGAGGGAUUUGCCUUUCGGAGUGCAAGAUGCGGGGGCGUCUGCUUGCCGCAUUGCUCCGCCGUUUUAAUCACUGCCAGCGAACCUUUCGGGAGCUCCGCGGCGCUUUCACUUCCAUUUCGUCUUCGUAGUCAACGGACUCAGAGCCACGCGUGAGCGUGCCCCCUCCCCUCCCCUGAGAGUUAGGCACACAUGGUGCUCCAGAUCGACUCAAGAAUGAGCCAAAUAAAAAACCGUUGACGACUUUUUCCCUUGUUUCGAUAGCGUCUUCGGAGCCUCUCCGUCCCCCACCCCGCCCUGCACUUAAACGUGCUAAUCGCGCACGGCAGAUUGGGUUGGCAACGCGGCGCAAGCCACCACCCAUGCACUUUAGCCCUUCCAAGGAUACUGAUAAG